rnacentral:rRNA from 1 species
CCUACGGGAGGCUGCAGUAGGGAAUUUUGCGCAAUGGGGGAAACCCUGACGCAGCAACGCCGCGUGAUCGAUGAAGCCCUUCGGGGUGGAAAGAUCUGUCAGUGGGGACGAAACCUGACGGUACCCACAGAGGAAGCACGGGCUAACUCCGUGCCAGCAGCCGCGGUAAUACGGGGGGUGCAAGGGUUUUCCGGAAUCAGUGGGCGUAAAGGGUUCGUAGGUGGCACGUUAAGUCUGGUGUUAAAGGCGGAAGCUCAACUUCCGUAGGGCACUGGAUACUGGCGAGCUUGAAUGCGGUAGGGGUAAAGGGAAUGCCUGGUGUAGCGGUGAAAUGCGUAGAUAUCAGGAGGAACAUCGGUGGCGUAGGCGCCUUACUGGGCCGUAAUUGACGCUGAGGAACGAAAGCCGGGGGAGCAAAUGGGAUUAGAUACCCGUGUAGUC